AUGGGCCCUAUUGAUAUUCUUGAGGUUUUGAUGAAGCACCCCUUCUAUCCUAAUGCUAUUAUUGCAUACAUGAUUUUGUUAAUCAUUCUUGUAACUGUUGCAUCUGCGGAAAGGAGCUUUUCUAAACUCAAGUUGUUGAAACCGUACUUGCGUUCUACUAUGACACAAGAAAGACUGAAUGGUUUGGCAACAAUAGCACUUGAAAAUGAUGUAUUGGAGAAGAUUAAUUAUAAAGAUUUUAUUUCAAGGAACACAAGACGGAUGACACUUUUCAAUAGAGCAUGA
rnacentral:rRNA from 1 species